rnacentral:ncRNA from 1 species
UUCAUAAAUCUGAACCCUUUCAAUACAAACUAUUGAAAAUUGACUAGCUAAUCUUCUGUAAUGCUAUUAUGAGGAUUGCCCUUUGAGGUUUAUAGCAAUAGGUCACCCUAUGGUUGGUCACAUGCAUUUAUGGA